GACGAACGCUGGCGGCGUGCCUAAUACAUGCAAGUAGAACGCUGAAGAGAGGAGCUUACUCUUCUUGGAUGAGUUGCGGACGGGUGAGUAACGCGUAGGUAACCUGCCUUGUAGCGGGGGAUAACUAUUGGAAACGAUAGCUAAUACCGCAUAACAAUGGAUGACACAUGUCAUUUAUUUGAAAGGGGCAAUUGCUCCACUACAAGAUGGACCUGCGUUGUAUUAGCUAGUAGGUGAGGUAAUGGCUCACCUAGGCGACGAUACAUAGCCGACCUGAGAGGGUGGUCAGCCAGACUGGGACGGGGACACGGCCCAGACUGCUACAGGAGGCAGCAGGAGGGAAUCUUGAGCAAUAGGGGCAACCCUGACCGAGCAAGGCGGCGUGAGUGAAGAAGGUUUUCGGAUCGUAAAGCUCUGUUGUAAGUAAAGAACGGGUGUGAGAGUGGAAAGUACACACAGUGACGGUAGCGUACCAGAAAGGGACGGCUAACUACGUG
rnacentral:rRNA from 1 species